rnacentral:rRNA from 1 species
UGGCUCAGGAUGAACGCUGGCGGUAUGCUUAACACAUGCAAGUCGAACGGUCCUUUCGGGGAUAGUGGCGGACGGGUGAGUAACGCGUGAGAAUCUGCCUUCAGGACGGGGACAACAGCUGGAAACGGUUGCUAAUACCCGAUGUGCCCUUGGGUGAAAUAUUUAUAGCCUGAAGAUGAGCUCGCGUCUGAUUAGCUAGUUGGUAAGGUAAAGGCUUACCAAGGCGACGAUCAGUAACUGGUCUGAGAGGAUGACCAGUCACACUGGGACUGAGACACGGCCCAGACUCCUACGGGAGGCAGCAGUGGGGAAUUUUCCGCAAUGGGCGCAAGCCUGACGGAGCAAUACCGCGUGAGGGAGGAAGGCUCUUGGGUCGUAAACCUCUUUUAUCAGGGAAGAACACAAUGACGGUACCUGAUGAAUCAGCAUCGGCUAACUCUGUGCCAGCAGCCGCGGUAAUACAGAGGAUGCAAGCGUUAUCCGGAAUUAUUGGGCGUAAAGCGUCCGCAGGUGGUUUUGAAAGUUUGCUGUCAAAGCGCGAGGCUCAACUUCGUACCGGCGGUGAAAACUUCAAGACUAGAGUUUGGUAGGGGUCACGGGAAUUCCCAGUGUAGCGGUGAAAUGCGUAGAUAUUGGGAAGAACACCAGCGGCGAAAGCGCGUGACUGGGCCUGAACUGACACUCAUGGACGAAAGCUAGGGGAGCGAAAGGGAUUAGAUACCCCUGUAGUCC